UACAGAGGGUGCAAGCGUUGUUCGGAAUUAUUGGGCGUAAAGGGAGUGUAGGCGGUUUGAUAAGUCUUCUGUGAAAUCUACGGGCUUAGCCUGUAACGUGCAGAGGAAACUGUCAGGCUUGAGUGUCGGAGAGGAUAGGGGAAUUCCCGGUGUAGAGGUGAAAUUCGUAGAGAUCGGGAGGAACACCAGUGGCGAAGGCGGCUCUCUGGGACGGUACUGACGCUGAGACGCGAAAGCGUGGGGAGCGAACAGG
rnacentral:rRNA from 1 species